AAUGAACGCUGGCGGCGUGCUUAACACAUGCAAGUCGAACGAGAACGGAUCUGCUUGCAGAUCUCAGUAAAGUGGCGCACGGGUGAGUAACACGUGGAUAACCUACCUUAUGUUCCGGAACAACAUUGCGAAAGCGAUGCUAAUACUGGAUGAAGUUGUUUGGCCUUUGGGCCGUAUAAUAAAAGGGAGCCUCUCCUUGGAAGCCUCUGACAUAAGAUGGGUCCGCGGAUCAUUAGUUAGAUGGUGGGGUAACGGCCUACCAUGACUACGAUGAUUAGCUGGUCUGAGAGGAUGAUCAGCCACACUGGAACUGACACACGGUCCAG
rnacentral:rRNA from 1 species